GGGUUUUCUCUGCUUGCUUAGGUGGGGACAACCACUAGAUUCUGCUUUCUUCACUUGGCAAACACAGCAGUAAAUAUGCUGUUGUACCCUCUGUAGCUUCUGCAGAAGACUCUCUCUUACUCCAGUUGCAAUUUACCCAUCCAGGAACCCUGCUGGAGAAGGCACUGCAGAAGAACACAGUCUUUAUUUCUUGUCCUUUGGCUGUGUGGUUCUCUGAAGAAGAAAUGUCAUUUAAUGGAAAUCAAUCUUACACCAGCUAAACCCCUUGGGAUUAUUAAUUGCUGCCUCUUUUGGUCCCUUUGGAGAGCAAUUGCAUGUUUUUUCUUGCCCAACAAAUAUGGCUGCCCCAGCAAGAAUGAUCCUCUCAAUGGAUAUUGAAGAUCUGGGCACCACUGUGCUGAGUGUACAUAACACCAAAUCUGAAGACCCACCUGCCACGCCAUGGUAGCAGGGAGACUGCUGCUAGGAAUGUUGAUAAUAUUAAGCUACCGUUCGAACAGUCAGUAUCAGCAAGGAAUCAGUGAAAGUGCUGACUUUAGAAAAGAAGCUCUUCAUGUUUUAUUUCACUGUUAAUAAAACAAAGAUGUCACUACUAUGAUGCACCAUCAACUGGAAUAUUGCUUUGCAUACAUGGUGGGGGGGGGGGAAUAUCUCAGUACAGAUGGAUGAUUUUUCAUUCCUUCACAUAUUUUGCUCAUUGAGUAAGUCAUUUAUGAUUCUCUCUAAAAGACUGUGAGGCACUGACUUGCUCAGGAACAUUAAAUAAGUCAUCAGCAAAACUCCAGUGGCCUUUGGCACUUUAACAUCUCCUUCCUAUGACACUUCAAUUCUUUUGCAGCAGACAAACAUUUUAUUCUGCAGAAUCUCUUCCGAUGUCUCAGUUUCCCUACCAGUUCAAUGGGAUGCCAAUCUUUAAUUCUUUUGUGAUGUUUUCUUUUAGUUAAUAGACUACUGGGUGCCUAAAUUGGCUCUAAAGUCAACCAUUCAGGGAACUGUGCCUCCAGUGUACACCAAAAAAAGAGAGGAAAAAAGAAGAACAUUACAGAGCUGAAAUAUACUAUCCGUUUUUAUAAGACAACAUACUCACAAACUAAUUGAACAUGCAAAUGAAAAACACUUAGGAUGGGAACAAGAUGCUCCUUUUGCCCUAAAUUCCUUGUCUCCCUCUAUGUUUAAACAGUUUUGCUUUGAAUUCUUAGUUUGUUUUCUUAUUACAUUAAUGUGUAGGUGGCUAUUUGACUUUGACAGAAAGAAAAAGGUACAUUAACUUUAUUUUUUCAUGUUUAUCGUCAGUAGCAUAAUGCCCAGUGGCAGAUUCUUUUCUGUUAAUCCCACUGUCACUAACUAGUAAUAAAUUGUUCAUACCCUAUCAGAUCAUUAUGCCUUAGAUUUUCUUUUUACAAUCUGGGCUGUUGACUAAACAUGACCUGUAGCUUAUUAAUGAAGGUCUUAGCUCAUUAAUAAUCACAUUCAGCUUGUUGCAACAAUGAACAACUGCAUUCCAAGCUAUAGUUCCUAUAUUGUCUCUCUGUAUUUGUGUAAUAGCAUUCCAAAACUUUUUUAAAAAUAAAAUGUUUGACUCCACUAAUUAGAAAAGAGUUGAAUCAGGUUGAAUGACUGUAACUGAGGAAUCUCUCAUUUCAAACAAG